ACGCUCGACACCUACGGCAGGCAGCAGUGAGGAAUAUUGGUCAAUGGGCGCUAGCCUGAACCAGCCAAGUAGCGUGAAGGAUGAAGGCUCUAUGGGUCGUAAACUUCUUUUAUAUAAGAAUAAAGUGCAGUAUGUAUACUGUUUUGUAUGUAUUAUAUGAAUAAGGAUCGGCUAACUCCGUGCCAGCAGCCGUGGUAAGUACUGAGGCGGGCGUGGCGAAGGACG
rnacentral:rRNA from 1 species